rnacentral:lncRNA from 1 species
GAGUUUGAAUAUGAGGCAGAGGAGGUGGUUGGACGUGCUGAAGGACUAUGACUGUGAGAUCCUUUAUCAUCCAGGGAAGGCCAACGUGGUGGCCGACGCCCUAAGCCGCAAGGUGUCGGCGGCCCCUAUCAGGGAUCUGUGUAUGAGGAUGACAGUGAUCACUCCACUGUUGGAGCGGAUCAAGGAGGCUCAGAUGGAGGGCCUCAAGGAGGAGAGGCAGAAGUGUGAGAGGAUAGUAGGCCGAGUAGCUUCAUUUGAUUACGACAGUCGGGGUUUGUUGACACUUCAUGGUAGGGUAUGGGUACCGUACUGGGGUGGGGUACGGCAGGUAUUGAUGGACGAGGCUCAUAAGUCUCGAUUUUCUAUCCACCCAGGAGCGACAAAGAUGUACCGAGAUCUUCGACCCGAUUAUUGGUGGCCCUGCAUGAAGCGGGACGUCGCCUGGUACGUCGAGAGAUGCCUGACCUGCCGGAAGGUCAAGGCGGAGCACCAGAGACCUCACGGCAGGAUGCAGCCGUUAGACAUUCCCGUGUGGAAAUGGGAGGACAUUACCAUGGAUUUUGUCACCAAGCUUCCCCGGACCGCACGUGGAGUGGACUCGAUAUGGGUAGUAGUGGAUCGGUUGACGAAGAGUGCCCAUUUUAUCCCGAUCCAGGAGAGUAUAUCGGCGGAGAAGUUAGCCGAUAUCUAUGUGCGUGAGAUCGUGGCACGUCAUGGAGUGCCGGUAUCAGUGGUGUCUGACCGAGAUGUCCGUUUCACAUCCAGAUUUUGGAAGCGGUUCCACGACGAGAUGGGUACUCGUCUCCAUUUCAGCACCGCUUUCCACCCUCAGACAGACGGGCAGAGCGAGAGGACGAUUCAGACUCUAGAGGAUAUGCUCAGGGCAUGUGUCCUAGAUUUCGGUGGCAGUUGGGAUACGUAUCUUCCGUUAGCGGAAUUCUCGUAUAACAACAGUUACCAUGCGAGCAUUGACCGACCUCCCUUUGAGAUGCUGUAUGGGAGGAAGUGUAGGACCCCGAUUUGUUGGGGCGAGGUCGGUCAGCGAGUCAUUGGGAGCACAGAGGUGGUGCUCAAGACGACUGAGUUGAUCCAGCAGGUCCGUAGUAGACUGCAAACUGCUCAGAGUCGGCAGAAGAGCUACGCCGAUAGGAGGCGUUCGGACUUGGAGUUCCAGGUGGGAGAUAUGGUCCUUCUGAAGGUCUCACCUUGGAAGGGUGUCAUCAGGUUCCGGAAGAGGGGCAAGUUGGGCCCCAGAUUUAUUGGUCCUUUCAGGGUUUUGGCCCGGGUGGGUCGGGUUGCUUAUCGGUUAGAUCUUCCUGAGGAGCUUAGUCAGAUCCACAACACUUUCCAUGUGUCUCAGUUGAGGAAGUGUUUGGUGGAUGAAUCAGCAGUCGUUCCCCUAGAGGAUAUUCAGGUUGAUAGUAGCCUGAAUUAUAUUGAGAGACCGGUCGCGAUUCUGGACCGGAAGACCAAGACCUUGAGGAACAAGGAAAUUCAGUUAGUAAAGGUGCAGUGGCAGCACCGGAAGGGGUCUGAGUGGACGUGGGAGGCUGAGGAGGAGAUGAGAGAGCACUACCCAGAGUUAUUUGCAGAUCCAGCCGUAGCAGACUUCGAGGACGAAGUCUGAGACAAGUGGGGGAGAAUUGUAACGACCCGUUCCCGGUAUGUUAAUUUAUUGGUUUUUGUUGUGAGUUUUGCAAGAGGAACUCGGCGAGUUCAUAGCCUGACUCGCCGAGUAGGGUCGCGGCUGCGAGCACGCGUGAGCCGGGGACUCGGCGAGUCCAUAUCCUGGACUCGGCGAGUCCAUCCGUCUGGGUGAAACCCUAAAUCCCCGGGUUGCCCACUAUUUAAACCACCUUAUAGCCCCAUUCUCGCCUCCCUCACCCUGAGAACACAGUGAGAAAACCCUAAUCCUCCCUUGAGAGCUUAUAAGUGAUUUGGUGCCAUUUUGUGAAGGUGUGAAGAAGGAGAAGAAGAAAGAAGCAAGGAAACGAGUUGUAGUGCAAAGAUCCAAGGGCAAAUCUGAGUUUAUUGAGGUAUUUUCGGAGUUCCCUUCUUGUUAUAUGCUUUAAACUUCCAUUAGAGCUCUUCUAAGAGCUAUUUGAUGUUUGUUCCAAGCCUUAUGUUUGCAUGAAUGUCUUAAUAAGUCGAAAUACCUUUGGAUCUGAAUGUUGGGGUGUUGUAGAGCCCAGAUCUACUGUCUUUUUGGAGUUACUUUGCAUAUUAAUCAUAGAUCUACCCAUUUUAUGCAUCUUUUAGCCUUAUUUCCCUUAUUCAUGAGGUUGUGCACGUAAAGUUGGAAACUUUACGUGGUAAAUCAGCUUAUUGGACUCAGAUCUAUCAAUUGUAUGUGUUGGAUUCAAACAAAAUCGAGUAAAAAUCAGUUGCAUGGCGGCAACUCGGCGAGUCGGGAAGAACGACUCGGCGAGUUGGGUCGCGAGUUCCCGAGUCCUUCAUUUUGAUCAGUGUCGAGUGAAUCCAGUGAGUUAGAGAGUGGACUCAGCGAGUUGAGGGUAGACUCAGUGAUGGAGGGACUCGGCGAGUUGUUCAUACAACUCGGCGAGUCCAAGGCAAUCUUCUUAGGAUCAUGAACAACUCGUCGAGUUUGUUCAUACGGCUCGGCGAGUCGGAUGAAGAUUGUCUGAGUUCUUGGAUCAAGAGGGUACUCGUCGAGUCGAUGCCACACUCGACGAGUAGCAGCGUGUAGAACUGAGAAGUGAGAGUAGGACUCGGCGAGUUGGGUGGCCCAACUCGGCGAGUCAGCCCCAAAAGUAAGUUGACUUUGACCAAGGGUAAAAGAGUCAUUUUACCCCAAGUGCAGUGUUUAGUAUUUGAUUGAGUGUGUUCAUGGGCUUGUAGCCGAGGAGAUUCAGGAGCAGCAGCCGGUAGCUUUCAGAGACACACACUCAGCCGCCAGUUUACGAGGUGAGUUUCCUUCAAGUAGGGACGGGUCUAAGGCCACAAUGCCGGCCCGUCCAGUUAGCAGUAGUUUCCGGACUUCGGUCCGAUGUAGCAGCUAGUAUGUUUGAUGCCUUCGUGGCUCAGACAGGAUUUAUGUGCUAUGUUUUAUGUGUUACGUGUUAUGUGUUCUGGGCUACGGCUCGAUGUAGUAUGCAGUAUAUGUGUUCAUGCUAGUUGAUAUGCUAUGAUAUGUUCAGUCAGUUAGUUCCGGACUCCGGUCCGAUGCAGGGGACAAGGUCCCAGUUAGUUCCGGACUUCGGUCCGAUGCAGUUAGUUCCGGACUUCGGUCCGAUGCAGUUAGUUCCGGACUUCGGUCCGAUGCAGGGGACAAGGUCCCAGUCAGUUCCGGAUUUCGGUCCGAUGCAGUUUCCGGGCUUCGGCCCGAUGCAGUGGGCAAGGCCCAAUAUGUGUUAUAUGCUAUUGUAUGGUAUGUGGUAUUUUGGGGGAGCUCACUAAGCUUCGUGCUUACAGUUUCAGUUUUGGUUUCAGGUACUUCCGCAAGCAAAGGGAAGAGCUCGGGAUGACGGCAUCGCACACACCACCGCCUCAGCUUUAGCCUGGGAUUGAUUUAGAUGUUUUGAUCUGAUGUAGUAUGAUACAGUUUUCCGCACAGUAUUUUAUUAUGUUUUGGAAUACAUCACGCAUGGUUUUAUUAUAUGAUGCUCUGAUUACAGUUUUGAUUAUAUUAAAAACAAAAAUUUUUGGGUCGUAUUUUUGGGUCGUUUCAAGUUGGUAUCAGAGCCCUGGUUUGAGGGAUUCGGAUACACUUCCGGGUGUAUCUGAACUCAAACUAAGGGGAAAUAAAAAGAUUUCUAAAAGUAAAAUGUUUUCUAAAAGAAUUUUGAAAGCACUUAGAAAGAAAGAAAUUUUUAAACAAGAUAAGGGUGUGGUGCAUGCGAUCAGCCGAGCUCAAGUAAGUACUCCCAAAUUACCCAUACAAGUUAUUUGUUCAAUUUCAGUUUUAGUAGAACAGCAUGCUAGUAUAGGACUAAGGAUUUAGGAGAAUGCCUUAUGUGCCUGCUUAUGUGUUACAGCUUUAUGAGUAUUGCAUGCUAGUACUGAGUAGACAGCAGUAGGAUAGCCUGAUUAGGUUAUGCCUGAUAGCAGGAGCUUAGCAUCUUAUGCUAGAUCAGUUUCUCGUUUUGAGAAUAGUUUUGCCUAAGUAUGUUCCCUUAUUCCGAAUGCUGCUUGCUUCGUGCUUUGUGGGAGUUCUGAGUGAUGGAAGUUAACCAUUAAGUGAACACGUUACACCAUAUGUGAUCAGGGUUAAAUAAUCCCAGAGUGCUGGAACUGACCCUAUUGCGCAGCUCUUGUUUGAGUCCAACCGUUAUAGGGACGGGUCUUUUACUUGAAGGAUUAUCUGAUCUUCGUCACAUGUGAUGGUGUUCAGGUGAUGGUUAAUUAGCAUUAUAAGGAGACCUGCAGCAGCUGAGGACUAGUUGAGUUAAGUCUGAGGUUUCCCUGGGGCAAGCCUAGGAUGAGAGUAGCAGAGAUCAGUAGUAGUAGAAGUGACUUGGUGGAGUCAGGGCAGUUCUUGAAGAAAGUACGGAUAGAUGUGGAAGGUAGUAUGGGCCCGUACUACUGGAAGCAGAGGAUCCGUACUCGAAUCAAGAAAGGCUGAGACAAGACCAGGAAGCUAGUUGUAGUAUCAAUGAUCCCUCAAGAUAUUUCUGUUUUCUGAUGUAGUUGUGAUGUGUUUCAGAAUGGUGGUUUUGCGUUCGAGACCAGCAGCCGGCAGCGGAGGUGCCGGGGAGGGAUCAGGUUCAGGCUCGGGGGAUGAGCGCAUGGAUGAGCAGACCCGAGAGUUUCUUUCUUCGGAGAUUACGCGCAUCAUUAUAGAGCAGACUCCUGUGAUCUUCGGUUCGAUCAAGGAGGGGAUUCUAGAGCUGAUGGAUGAGAGACUGGGCACCUUCCGUGCCGAGGUGGCGGCCAUGAUGGGGUCGCGCACCCUUACCUUCAGGGAGUUCAGGGCAUGUGGAGCCCCGGACUAUCAUGGGGCGCGGGACCCCAUAGCGAGCACCAGAUGGUUGGCAGAUGUGGCCAACGCUUUCCGUACUAGCAGAUGUCCCGAGGGGGACAAGGUCAGAUUGGCGUCCUGUCUUCUGAAGGACAGGGCACGAGAUUGGUGGGAGGAGGUCGGGCAUGCCAUUGGGGAUGAUGCAGCAUUGGACGCCAUGACCUGGGCUGAUUUCUCUACCAGGUUCAGGGCGGAGUUUGCACCGGUCAUUGAGGUGCAACAGCUAGCUAGGGAGUUUCAGGACCUCACCCAGACUACAGAGACAGUGGCGGAGAUCACCGCCAAGUUCAGGGAGAGGGCUCUUCUCGUUCCUCAGUAUGUAGCUGAUGAGGAAAUGAAGAAGGCCCGUUAUCAUGAGAUGUUGCGGAGCGAUAUCCGCCAGUUUGUGAGCCGGUCCAGCUGUAAAACGCUGGAAGAUAUGAUUGCUAGAGCUCGGGAGAGGGAGAUUGAUCUUGAGAUGGAGAAGAAGAGGAAACCGGAGGCGGUUUCGGGUUCAGGCGGUUCGGGCAAAAAGCCCAAGGUUUCGGAUCACAGAUCUAGGAGUCAGCAGAGCCACGGUCGAUGUGGCAAGUGUGGGAGAUUGCACGAGGGAGCGUGCAAGGCAGGGAGUUCCGGCUGCUACAAGUGCGGUCGGAUUGGGCAUUUGAGUAGGGAUUGUACGGCCCCUGCUACUGCCGUCGCAGCAUCAGAUCUGAUUUGCUUUCAGUGCAAUCAGAGGGGACAUAAAAAGUCCCAGUGUCCGAGUUUAGCUUCAGCAGGGAAGGUGGCUGCACCUGCCCCUGCUACCUUGAGGAUUACAGAUGGCCGGCAGGGCCGAGCUGAUGCGCCAGUGGCGAAGAGUAGGGCGUUUCAGAUGACAGCAGAGGAGGCGCGAGCGACUCCUGAUGUGGUGACGGGUAUGUAUCUUCCCUUUUAUCUCUUUAUUAUUAUUGAUUAAAUGUUGCUUAUGGUUGUAUGUUUUAUUCAGGGUCGUUCUCUGUGAACGGCAUUUCUGCUUUGGUAUUAUUCGAUUCGGGGGCUACCCGAUCAUUCGUAUCUCUUGCGCUUAGCAAGAGGUUCAGUAGAGCUCCAGGGGAGCUGGAUUGUCCAUUAGAGGUUGAGAUAGCGGAUGAUAGGACCGUGAGGGUCGGCAGAGUGCACAGAGGGUGUUCUCUUCAGUUAUUUGAUGAGCAGUUUUCAGUGGAUUUGGUACCUAUUCCCCUGCGAGGGAAUAAGGUUAUUGUGGGUAUGGAUUGGCUAAGCCCCAAUGGGGCGGUGAUUGAUUGCGAGCUUCAGCUAGUGAGGGUUCGCACUCCCAGUGGGGGAGAGUUGGUGAUUCAGGGCGAGAGGCCACAGCGAGGACCGACCUUUUGUUCCGCCGCAAGGGCGAGGCGCUAUGUUCAGCAGGGUUGCGCCGGUUUUGUAGCUUACGUUUUGGAUGCCCGGGAGAAGGGCAAGUCGACAGUUGAUGAUGUUCCUAUUGUUCGAGACUACCCGGACGUGUUUCCCGAGGAUUUGCCGGGGAUACCUCCUGAGAGACAGGUUGAGUUCAGGAUCGACCUCAUUCCUGGUGCGGCUCCGAUAGCCAAGGCACCGUAUCGACUAGCUCCCCCUGAGAUGCAGGAGUUGUCUACACAGCUGCAGGAGCUGUUAGACAAGGGUUUCAUUCGGCCGAGCAGUUCGCCUUGGGGAGCGCCGAUCCUGUUUGUGAGAAAGAAGGAUGGGUCGCAUCGUAUGUGUAUUGAUUAUCGGGAGCUGAAUAAGGUAACGGUGAAGAACCGUUACCCACUCCCGAGGAUAGAUGAUUUGUUUGAUCAGCUUCAGGGAGCGUCUUGGUUCUCCAAGAUCGAUCUACGCUCCGGAUAUCAUCAGAUGCGGGUUAGAGAUGAGGAUGUACAGAAGACUGCUUUCAGGACCAGGUAUGGUCAUUACGAGUUUGUGGUGAUGCCAUUUGGGCUCACCAAUGCUCCAGCCGCGUUCAUGGAUCUCAUGAACCGCGUGUGUAGGCCGAUGCUGGAUCGGUCAGUGAUAGUGUUCAUAGAUGACAUCUUGGUAUAUUCCAAGACGCAGGAGCAGCACGAGGAGCACCUGCGGGAGGUGCUGGAGGUUUUGAGGAGGGAGAGACUUUUCGCAAAGUUCUCCAAAUGUGAGUUCUGGUUGCGCGAGGUGCAGUUCCUUGGUCACCUCGUCAACCAGAAGGGUAUUCUGGUAGAUCCGGCCAAGAUAGAGGCCGUGAUGCAGUGGGAGGUCCCGAAGUCUCCAUCUGAGAUUCGGAGCUUCCUAGGGUUGGCAGGGUAUUAUCGGAGAUUUAUUCAGGAUUUCUCCAAGAUAGCAGUGCCGCUCACCCGACUGACCAAGAAGUCAGUGGUAUUUCGUUGGGGUCCGGAGCAGCAGACAGCAUUCGAGACCCUCAGGCAGAGAUUGUGCGAGGCUCCGAUCCUUACCUUGCCAGAGGGAGUAGAGGACUUUGUAGUCUAUUGUGAUGCCUCGAUCACAGGUUUGGGAGCAGUUCUGAUGCAGCGAGGCCAUGUGAUAGCUUAUGCCUCGAGACAGUUGAAGCCUCACGAGGCUAAUUAUCCUACCCAUGAUUUGGAGCUGGGGGCAGUUGUGUUUGCCCUCAAGAUUUGGAGGCAUUACCUUUAUGGGGUCCGUUGUACUAUUUACACGGAUCACAAGAGUUUGAGGUACCUUAUGGAUCAGCCGAGUCUGAACAUGAGGCAGAGGAGGUGGUUGGAUGUGCUAAAGGAUUACGACUGUGAGAUCCUUUACCAUCCAGGGAAGGCCAACGUGGUGGCCGAUGCCCUGAGCCGCAAAGUGUCGGCGGCCCCUAUCAGAGAUCUAUGUUUGAGGAUGACAGUGAUCACUCCGUUGUUGGAGCGGAUCAAGGAGGCUCAGGUGGAGGGCCUCAAGGAGGAGAGACAGAAGUGUGAGAGGAUCGUGGGCCGAGUAGCCUCGUUUGAUUAUGAUAGUCGUGGUUUGCUGACGCUUCACGGGAGAGUGUGGGUACCGUACUGGGGUGGAGUACGGCAAGUGUUGAUGGAUGAGGCUCAUAAGUCUCGGUUUUCUAUCCACCCAGGGGCGACGAAGAUGUAUCGAGAUCUUCGACCUGAUUAUUGGUGGCCCUGCAUGAAGCGGGACGUCGCCUGGUACGUCGAGAGAUGCCUGACCUGCCGGAAGGUCAAGGCGGAGCACCAGAGACCUCACGGCAGGAUGCAGCCGUUAGACAUUCCUGUGUGGAAAUGGGAGGACAUCACCAUGGAUUUUGUCACCAAGCUCCCCAGGACCGCACGAGGAGUGGAUUCGAUAUGGGUAGUAGUGGAUCGGUUGACGAAGAGUGCCCAUUUUAUCCCGAUCCAGGAGAGUAUAUCAGCGGAGAAGUUAGCCGAUAUCUAUGUGCGAGAGAUUGUGGCACGUCAAGGAGUGCCGGUAUCGGUGGUGUCAGACCGAGAUGUCCGUUUGACAUCCAGAUUCUGGAAGCGGUUCCACGACGAGAUGGGUACUCGUCUCCAUUUCAGCACCGCUUUCCACCCUCAGACGGACGGGCAGAGCGAGAGGAC